UCGAGGAUCAUUCGCAAUGGGCGCAAGCCUGACGGUGCGACGCUGCGUGGAGGAUGAAGGCCUUCGGGUUGUAAACUCCUGUCGUGCGGGAACAAAGACCCGGCCGUUAACAACGGCUGGGAGUGAUAGUACCGCAAAAGGAAGCCACGGCUAACUCUGUGCCAGCAGCCGCGGUAAUACAGAGGUGGCGAGCGUUGUUCGGAUUUACUGGGCGUAAAGGGUGCGUAGGUGGCUUUGUGUGUCGGGCGUGAAAUCCCACUGCUCAACGGUGGAACGCCGCCCGAAACUGCAAAGCUCGAGUGCAGGAGAGGAGAGCGGAAUUCUUGGUGUAGCGGUGGAAUGCGUUGAUAUCAAGAAGAACACCAGUGGCGUAGGCGGCUCUCUGGAAUGCAACUGACACUGAGGCACGAAAGCGUGGGGAGCAAACA
rnacentral:rRNA from 1 species